CCGGGCCGGCUGGGGCCUGCCCUGCGGUCGCCCCGCCAUCUCCCUGUCUCCUCGAGUCCUUGGAGACUCUGGCCCCUCACUGUCUGCCUCUGCUAAGCCCUUCCUCGAAGGCCUGUCCUGGAAGGGAAGAGAGGAUCCGCCCCGAGACGGCGGGACCCGCUGCAGCUUCCUGUGGUCGCAAGAAGGCGUAGCUAAGACGGUCUCUAGGCAGGGGCGACAUUGGAGACGAGGGGAUCUUCCUUAUCCAGGGAUCGAACUUGCGUUUCCUGCUUGGCAGAUGGAUUCUUUACCACUAAGCCACCUGAUUAUGGAAUUUGUGUUAGACAGAAAGCAAAUUUGAGCGAUUUUCUUAUUUGAGUUCAAAAUGGGUUGUAAAUCAGUAGAGAAAACUAGCAACUUCAACAACGCAUUUGGCCCAGGAAUUGCUAACAAAGGAAUAGUACAGUGGUGGUUCAAGACAUUUGCAAAGGAGAUGAGAGCAUUGAAGAUGAGGAGUGGAGUGGCCAGCUAUCGCAAGUUGACAGUGACAAUUGAGAGCCAUCAUCAAAGCUGAUCCUCUUACAACUACAUAAGUUGCUGAAGAACUCAGCAUUGACCAUUCUAUGGUCAUUUGGCAUUUGAAGCAAAUGGAAAGGUGAAAAAGCUUGGUAAGUGAGUGCCUCAUGAGCUGACUGGAAAAAAAAUUGUUGUUUUGAAGUGUUGUCUUCUCUUAUUCUAUGCAACAACAGUGAACCAUUUCUCAGUCGGAUUGUGACGUGCAAUGAAAAGUGAUCUUAUAUGACCACUGGCAAAGACCAACUCAGUGUUGGACUGAGAAGCUCCAAAGUAUUUCCUAAAGCCAAACUUGUACCAUAAAAAUGUCAUAACCACUGUUUGGUGGUCUGCUGCCCAUCUGAUCCACUACAGCUUUCUGAAUCCUGGAGAAAGCAUUACAUCUGAGAAGUAUGCUCAGCAAAUCAAUGAGCUGCUCCGAAAACUGCAAUGCCUGCAGCCAGUAUUGAUCAACAGAAAGGGCCCAGUUCUUCUCUACAACAAUGCCCGACCAUAUCGCACAACCAACAUUUCAGAAGUUGAAUGAAUUGGGUUGGAUGUUUUGCCUCAUUUGCCUGACCUCUUGCCAACCGACACCACUUUUUCAAACAUCUUGACAACUUUUUGCAGGGAAAACACUUCCACAGCCAGCAGGAGGCAGAAAAUGCUUUCCAAGAGUUUUUCAAAUUCUGAAGCACAGAUUUUUAUGCUACAAGAAUAAACAAACAUUUCUUAUUCAUAAAAAGUGUGUUAGUUAUAAUGGCUC
ensembl:lncRNA